rnacentral:lncRNA from 1 species
ACCCACUGGGCCUUGGAAAGGGUCUGGAGCUGGAAGCCAGAAAACCAUCAGGAUUUCCCUGACUCUGCUCUUCUCACUCUCUCAUUCCCUCUUUUUCUAUACACUGGCUUUUGUCUACCUCUCCAACUCACCUCACAGAAUAUAGCCAUGCGAAAUCCCCCUUUCUUCCUAGUUUUAGCCAGCCUCAGAGACUAAUUCCAACGCAACACGGUCAAAUUAACAAAUCGGGCCGGGUGCGGGGGCUCACGCCUGUAAUCCUAACACUUUGGGAAGCUGAGGUGGGCAGAUCACUUGAGGUCAGGAGUUCGAAACCAGCCUAGCCAACAUGGUGAAGCCCCAUCUCUAAUAAAAACACAAAAAAAUUAGCCCGGCAUGGUGGCGUGCAUCUGUAAUCCCAACUACCUGGGAGGCUGAGGCAGGAUAAUUGUUUGAACUUGGGAGGCAGAGGUUGCAGUGAGCCGAGAUCACGCCAGUGCACUCCAGCCUAGGCAAUGGAUCGAGACUCUGUCUCAAAACAAACAAACAAACAAAAAAAAAACAAAAUCAGUAACUCACGGAGUCUCAGUUCACAUUCUCAAGAGAGAAUUUGAUUGGUCCAACCUGAAUCCUACGUCCACUGAAGAACGGUAGAACCCACUAGCCAUGGCUGUGGGGGUGGGGCGUGCAGCACAAAGGUGGCUGCCAGGGACCCACUCUCUGGCUGGUCAGGCAGUUCCUAGAAAAAUCAGACUGGGCAAAGAUGCCAGCAAUUAUCCUUGACUGUGAGGAUAUUUCCUUUUGGAAAAUCCAGUACCCAACUCACAAACAAAGUCCUUCCUGGUACUAAAAUACCAUGACAAACACUCCUAUUGACUUAAAGGGGUUAUUCCUCAUUCAGCUUUGAACUCCCCACAAUGCCUACCCUUUGUCUUCAAUCCAUGGCUGCUUCUGUAUUUUUUUUUAAUGUCUUGAAGAGCAACAAACUUUUCUAGCACAAGAAAAUCUUUGCAUAUCAUUACAUAUGUUAAAGGUAGAUGGAUGGCCAGGUGUGGUGGCUCACUCCUGUAAUUCUAGCACUUUGGGAGGCUGAGGU